rnacentral:lncRNA from 1 species
UUUUAUUGGUUUUCAAUUUCAUUCUUUAAUUCAAAUUAAUGAUAUUAAGUUUUUCGAUCUGGUCCUCAUUGUUUUGAUUUUUUUUUGCCCUUUUGUAAAAGUUAUUAUUCUUUUUAUCUUCACCCUACAAUUAAAACAUUGUUUUUAUUUUUUAUGUGAAUUAUGGUCCUCUUUUUUUUGACCUUUUUUUUUUGCUUUCGCUAAAUUGGUUUUUAU